CAAGAAGGCAUUGAGUAAGCUUCCCACUGAUACAGGACCCCACAGAUGAUCAAAGGUUGUGUGUUUUCUUAAUUGAGAAGGCAUUGAGUAAGUUGCCCACUGGGGAAGAGCAAAUGUUUGCAAUAUUUGAUCUUAGAGGUUUUGGUCUAGAAAAUGCUGAUCUUAAAUACUUGAAAUUCUUGGUAAUGUUUUUUUUAUACUAUCUACGAAAUAUUUUUAGUUGAAAAGUCUUUAGUGACAUCACCUAUUUUCUGCUCUUGAACAAAAGUGAUUAGCUACAAAUACAUUUUCUUUACUUUUGACAAUUUGAUGUGUUCUACUAUUACUAUCCCAAUCUAUUGUCUUAAGUAUUAUUUGUGGAUGCUCCUGCGGUGUUUAAGCCAUUUUGGCGGCUUAUGAAGAAGUUGUUAAAAUCACAUGCUUCUCAGGUUAAAUUUUGCUCUGCAGAAACUCUCAAAAAGGAAUAUUUUACAGAUGAAACUUUGGCACCAAACUUUAAUGAUUGAAAGUUAUUUGAUGGCAAAGUUUCAUCUGUAAAAUAUUCCUUCUUGAGAGUUUCUGCAGAGAAAAAUUUAACCUGUAAAGGAAAAUGAAAAUAGACCAAUCAUGUCAAACAAUGCUAAACAUAAUCCUACACGAUCUUUUGUUUUUUCCGAUUAAAAAUGUGAAAACAACGUUAUAGAUGUAUGAAUCAUAAAAAUGUCAGGUAUCCAACUCUCCCACCAAUAUAACACAUUAAUUGGGGAUAUAAACUUUACAUGGCGAUUUGAUGAAAAAAUAGCAAAGUGAAGUAAUAAAGAGAUCGAUGUUUCAAUCUCCACCCUUAGCAUACUAUACACAGACAAUACUAGUAUUAAUUGUUCACUAUAUAUAAAAUUUAAAAUAUGUAAUAAUUACCUAAGAAGCAUGUGAUUUUAACAACUUCUUCAUAAGCCGCCAAAAUGGUUUAAACACAGCAGGAGCAUCCACAAAUAAUACUUGAGACAAUCGAUUGGGAUAGUAAUAGUAGAACAUAUCAAACUGCCAAAAGUAAAGAAAUGUAUUUGUAGCUAGCCACUUUUGUUCAAGAGCAGAAAAUAGGUGAUGUCAUUGUAGACUUCUCAACUAAAAAUAUUUGGUAGAUAGUAUAAAAAAAUACAUUUCCAAAAAAUUCAAGUAUUUGAGAUCAGCAUUUUCAGGACCAAAACCUCUAAGAUCAAAUAUUGCAAGUAUUUGCUCUUCCCCAGUGGAAAGCUUACUCAAUGCCUUCUCAAUUAAGAAAACAGACAACCUCUGAUCAUCUGCGGGGUCCUGUUCCCGCGGCAUAAAUAUUCAUCUUGUAUAUCGAGUUUUCCUCUCAUCGAGUACUAACGACAAUGGAUCAAAAUCAAGGACAAGAAGUCGUGCCCAAUCGAAUUCUCUUAGUUACUAUUCAUCAACUGCUGCAUCCUAUGAAUGUGGAUAUGCUAUAAUAAGUAUUUUCUCGCCAUGGAUAUGUGGAAAAGAUUGUAACAUUUCAUAAUUCAGCUGAUGUGGGAGCUUGAUGUGUUUUGCGUUUCAUAAUGUUUGAAGGUUAAUCCAAAUUCUCCUCAGACACAAGUCAAAUUUCUCACUCUUUCCGAUGGAAAGAAGUUGUUAACUCCUCAACCACGCACGGCUACAGACGUUUUCUGUAAUCGAGUCCAAUAUGUUAACUUCUGGUACCAUCAAGGAAGCAUGUACUUCUGUUGGUGUUGCGAAUUAUAAAGGUUGAUCUUAUUGUUAUUGGAUCUGUUGCAGUUGAUCCGAAAACAGGUGCUCGAUUGGAAAAAGUA